rnacentral:rRNA from 1 species
AUUGAACGCUGGCGGCAGGCCUAACACAUGCAAGUCGAGCGGAUGAAGGGAGCUUGCUCCUGGAUUCAGCGGCAGACGGGUGAGUAAUGCCUAGGAAUCUGCCUGGUAGUGGGGGAUAACGUCCGGAAACGGGCGCUAAUACCGCAUACGUCCUGAGGGAGAAAGUGGGGGAUCUUCGGACCUCACGCUAUCAGAUGAGCCUAGGUCGGAUUAGCUAGUUGGUGGGGUAAAGGCCUACCAAGGCGACGAUCCGUAACUGGUCUGAGAGGAUGAUCAGUCACACUGGAACUGAGACACGGUCCAGACUCCUACGGGAGGCAGCAGUGGGGAAUAUUGGACAAUGGGCGAAGGCCUGAUCCAGCCAUGCCGCGUGUGUGAAGAAGGUCUUCGGAUUGUAAAGCACUUUAAGUUGGGAGGAAGGGCAGUAAGUUAAUACCUUGCUGUUUUGACGUUACCAACAGAAUAAGCACCGGCUAACUUCGUG